rnacentral:rRNA from 1 species
AUUGAACGCUGGCGGCAGGCCUAACACAUGCAAGUCGAGCGGAUGAAGGGAGCUUGCUCCUGGAUUCAGCGGCGGACGGGUGAGUAAUGCCUAGGAAUCUGCCUGGUAGUGGGGGAUAACGUCCGGAAACGGGCGCUAAUACCGCAUACGUCCUGAGGGAGAAAGUGGGGGAUCUUCGGACCUCACGCUAUCAGAUGAGCCUAGGUCGGAUUAGCUAGUUGGUGGGGUAAAGGCCUACCAAGGCGACGAUCCGUAACUGGUCUGAGAGGAUGAUCAGUCACAAUGGAAAUGAGACAAGGUCCAGACUCCUAAGGGAGGCAGGAGUGGGGAAUAUUGGACAAUGGGCGAAAGCCUGAUCCAGGCAUGCCGCGUGUGUGAAGAAGGGCUUCGGAUUGUAAAGCACUUUAAGGUGGGAGGAAGGGCAGUAAGGUAAUACCUUGCUGUUUUGACGGUACCAACAGAAUAAGCACCGGCUAACUUCGUG